rnacentral:rRNA from 1 species
UACGUAGGGGACCAAGCGUUGUUCGGAUUUACUGGGCGUAAAGGGCGCGUAGGCGGCGUGGUAAGUCACUUGUGAAAUCUCUGAGCUUAACUCAGAACGGCCAAGUGAUACUGCUGUGCUCGAGUGUGGAAGGGGCAAUCGGAAUUCUUGGUGUAGCGGUGAAAUGCGUAGAUAUCAAGAGGAACACCUGAGGUGAAGACGGGUUGCUGGGCCAACACGUGACGCUGAGGCGACGAAAGCCAGGGGAGC